UAGUAUCUAUUAACCUUAAUAACUGUAGUUCUAAUAUAAAUUAAUAUUUUUCCAUCUGCGCAUCACUUACUAAAAUUCUCACCACAUCGAGAGGUAGUAUUGCGUCAGAUAAUAUCCAGUAAGAUAUAAUUAUUGUCAACAUGCUAGAGAAUUGAAUAAUAUUCUCAACUUUUAUCAGUAUUCUUUAUAAGAAUUAAUAUCUGAUAAUAUAACAACUAGUGAUUCAAUAACCACGAGUUAUCAACUAAAAUAUCACUAUAUAACAGUUUAUCUGUUAUAUUAACCCAUCAUGGAGGAAACAGAACCUCUCUCCAUUUCUCGUUCAAUAAGAACACUGUUCAUAAUUAUUGUUAUCCAGCGAGAAUAUAAACAAUAUUUAAUUCCCUACAAUUGCGACCCUAUUCUCAUUAACGUAUUAAGUAGAGUAAUUACAAGGAAAAGAAUUUUCCGUUUCUACUAAAAUGUGAAUGCGUCAGAGAGUGUUGAGGGAGACGGAGGCGUAGCGACGCCAUCACUAGCGACGCAACUGGCGAGAGAGUCGGACGCGAGACAACGUGGCGUCCAUUAGACCAGGGAGAGGCGAAGUUUUCAACAAUUCUACGACAGGCCCUUGCUAUUACUCGGCCUUGGAGUGUGCUACUACUCCAGUAGCAGUCUAAAGAUAGCAUCGGUGGACAACCAGCAGGAUAUUGUGUUACCUGCCGUGUGUGCUGUGGGAGCUCCAGCACCUCAGCUGGCAACACCAGAGGUAUACAACACUUACCCCCUCUAUUGUAGAGCACGGCGGCGCUCUACAACACUCUAUUGCUCAAAGUGCUCACAGUAUUCCUCAGCAACUCUCCCAUGCACCACCACGAGGAUGUCUCCAGCGACAUUAUUGAUCGACACUUCAUUUCCACUCUGCCUUUAGAAGACAGGAAAUUGACAUCAUUAUCUCAGAGGUGACGUCUGGGGGCCGCGGUACUGGAGACGGCAGUUCAUCUUGGGCAGUCCAGAGUCUCUCUACAGGGUCCUGGAAACGACCAAGUAAGCCGCCGCCGAUGAAGCAGUGUGGUAGCUGCGGAAGGUUUAGUGUUGAAAGGAUCGGCGUACCAUUGGGACUGGCUUAAGGGAGAGACUGACGACAGGGAGGUGCCUGUUGAGUAGUGCUACUGGCUGGUCGCUAGAGACUGCUGCCAGGGGAUCGCUACCCCUUGUAUUGUGACCCCACUCAGCGUGUGGCUGAGGUACACUGCCAGAGAGUAACUGGAGAGUGGUCGUGGGGGUACAGGCACCUCAUGACACUGUCAGUGGGCUGGCCCACGUACAGGUGAACUACCCGGUGUUCUUCCCAGUAAGGUUGGAUACGCUACUGGACAGUGAAGAACUACUGGGGAUUGAUGAACUCUGCACGUGAACACGUUUGGUAUCCUGAGCGAAAGGAUUGUGCGUAAGUGUAGUAAUAGCCUAUCUGUUAUAUAUAUAUAUAUAUAUAUGUCGUACCUAGUAGCCAGAACGCACUUCUCAGCCUA